GAAGUUGUAGUUGUUGGGGCAGCAGUUGUGGUUGUUGAGGCUGCAGUUGUUGUUGUUGGGCCUGAAGUUGUAGUUGUAGAUGCAGCAGUUGUGGUUGUUGAGGCUGCAGUUGUUGUUGUUGGGCCUGAAGUUGUAGUUGUAGAUGCAGCAGUUGUGGUUGUUGAGGCUGCAGUUGUUGUUGUUGGGCCUGAAGUUGUAGUUGUAGGUGAAGCAGUUGUGGUUGUUGAGGCUGCAGUUGUUGUUGUUGGGACAGAAGUUGUAGUUGUAGGUGCAGCAGUUGUGGUUGUUGGGGCAGCAAUUGUGGUUGUUGAGGCUGCAGUUGUGGUUGUUGGUGCAGCAGUUGUGGUUAUCGGGGCAGCAGUUGUAGUCGUAGGUGCAGCAGUUGUGGUUGUCGGGGCAGCAGUUGUAGUCGUAGGUGCAGUAGUUGUGGUUGUAGGGACAGAAGUUGUAGUUGUUGGUGAAGCAGUUGUGGUUGUGGAGGCUGCAGUUGUUG